GUAGGUGAACCUGCGGAAGGAUCAUUAAAACGUUCCAAUAACGUAUACCUUGGUGAACUGUUUAACCGUCCCAUACAAAGGACUGGCUGUAAGGUUUAGGAGUGCGAUGCAAUAGGGAGGGGGAGGGGAAAAGCGGCUUCACGGCUGCUGGACCUCUUCUUCUCUGCGCCUUUACCGUCAGAACUCUCUCCCUCACCGGAGUCUGGUCUGGAGCCUAACCUCUGUAUCUUCACUAUUGUUCAUUUUUAACCCACUUUCUUUUUUUGUCUAAUAUAAUAAAAACUUUAAAUUAAGAACAAUUCUUAGCAACGGAUAUCUUGGUUCUC
rnacentral:misc_RNA from 1 species